rnacentral:misc_RNA from 1 species
AACGCACCUUGCACUCUCUGGUAUUCCGGAGAGUAUGCCUGUUCGAGUGUCGUGAAGUUCUCAACUUGCCUGCUUUGCGGCGGACAAGCUUGGAGUUGGAGCCUUGUCGGCGAGAGUCGACUGCUCUGAAAUGCAUUAGCCAUUACCUCUCUGUCGGCUCAAGCGUAAUAAAUCUUUGUUCGCUAGGUCGAUCCCGGAGGGGCCACGGCUUCUAAAGCACACUAUUUUUCACCUUUGACCUCGAAUCAGGUAGGACUACCCGCUGAACUUAA